GCGGCGCCGGAAGCCCGGGCCGGGCCUCGGCGCCCGGGAACCUGCCCCGAGUCCCGCACUCCGGCGGCGUCCGAAGUAACCUGUUCCAGGUCCCUCACUCAGGCCCGGCCCAGGCUGACCUUCCCCGGGUUCCCCGAUCCGGCCGGGUCCGGAGUAACCUGCCUCGGCUCCCGGUCUCUAGCGGGGCCGGGGCAGACCUGUUUCGAGUCCCGCUCCGGUGGGGUCCGGGUGAUCUGGUCAGGAUCUACUUCAGGCCGCGUCUUAGGUCACCUGCCCGCAGUCGCCUUCUGGGCGUGUCCGAGGUGACCUGCCGUCGGGGGUGACCUGUCCCCAAGUUUUCCUCCAGCUGAGUCCGUGCCCUGUUCAAGCCAGCUCCGUGGUGAUCCGUCCUCCCUGCCCCACCCCCCACCUGUGGUCCCAGCCGUCUGGGCAUUCCCCCUCGCCCGCCCCCGGUCAUGCCCACUAAACCGCGGGUUCAAAUUUCCCCGGGCCCAGGGACGCUGGAGAGGGCAGGGUCGAAGCUCCCGGAGUAGAAACGGAAUUUUAGCCUCCAGUUGAGAACCCCACACUCGCUGGUUAUGAAGAUUAUUCAAGAGACAGGUUGCGUUUUGUUUUUCCUUCUUGCAUUGCCUGUUGCUGAAACCGACUUGUUAUGUAACUCCCCAGCUCUGUCUUGGAAAAGUUAGGUUUGAGUUUGUUCCUCCAAUGGGGGCAGUGAUAGUGGGUUUUACAUAAGUGGUACUGCCACGUUGGAAAAUGUUGUUUUUAAUGAUGUGAAUGUUUAGGGAAAGCUACUUAGGUAUUUUAAGUUUGGGUUUGGGUUAUGAGAAGUAUUAGGGACGCACUUCCUGAACCUAGGUCCCAGCCCUGGAGUGGCAGAGGGGACUGGCUGGGGUUUUGGGGUGGGAUCCCUUGUCACAGGUGUUCCUUGGCAUGAGGAUCCACUGUCAGGGCUGGGGGAGCCACCCCAUCCUCAGCCAGAGUGAGCUCAGACUCUGUCCUUGGGGGAGGAGGGCUAGCAUUCUAGUUGAUUGAGUCACUCUCGUGGGUAGACCACCCACUUGGAUUUUCUUUUAGCCCCUAAUAGAAGCAGAAAACAUUUGACUCAUUCUAACCCUAGAUUUCCUUAAAAAUAGAUGCCUGAUGGGUGGAGCAUCAGGGAGAACAGGUGUGCAAGUAUGUAUUUUUUCAGCUUGGUUUACAUAUGGUGGAGGAAGAUAGGAGAGAGUUUGCCUGGAGAAACGAAUGAGCCGUUGGACACUCAUGAUGACACCUGUAGACCCCUCUGUUUUCACAGCUGUGAAAUGGGGGUAUAGGAGUUUUAUUUUUGUUACACUUUUCAACAUACCUGAAAUCUGCACUUAUGUUUGGAUGGACCGGAAACAUACAUGAAAUCUGGACUCAAGUUUGGAUGGACCAGAUAACGCUGUUUGUAACUUGUGUCCAGUGCGUCCAGAGGCUGAGGAUAAAGAUCACUCAGUUGAGCGAUGUGCCAUGGUUAGUGGCAGCUCAGGGUUGGUAAAGGUAAUCGUUUUAUUGCAAAUUCUUUUUAAGACUUUUAUUGCAUAUUCUUUAUAUUGGCCAGUGUUUUUCUGGCCAGUGUAAAACAGCUCUGAGUUCUAGUUUUGUUCUUGUAUUCUGUUUGUGAUCAGUGAGUUACAGGGCAUGCCCUUCUCUUUCAGUUGAAAUAAUCUAUUUUUCUGCACCUGAGCACUGAGUUGUAUAAAAUAGGAGCUUUAAAACUCUCCACCAGAGGUAAAUGUUGCAGUUGAGCUCACCUGAGUUCUGAUGACAUCAAAAGGGUUUAUCCUUCUUUACUUUUAAUUAACUCAGAUGACCCACUCACGUGUAGCCCAAGUUUGUGUUUGGGGAAUGGGAGUUACAUCCUUUGUGUCGUAAGAGAAGGCUCUGAAUUUGGGGGCAGGAAAAGUCUGAAUAGAAUUGAAAAGUGGAAAAAAAGUUGAUUCUUCUCUAUGCCAGUUGGUGGCAUUGGCUGCCUACAACAUUUGGAAUUUUCCUUAUUUGUCCUCAAGAGUUGGCUGGGUAACUAACUGUACAGUGGGGCUUCCAGAAAGACUCAAACCCAUUCUGAAUGCCUUUUGAUUUUAUCUUAUUGAAUGAGUAGCUGUAACUUAUCAAGUGCUGUGCAGCUACUUCUGUUUCACAGCUUUCUUGAGAUAGAAUCCAUGUAGCAUACAGUUUGCCCAUUUAAAGUGUACAGUUCAGUAGCUUUUAGUACGUUCAGAGUUGUGCAGCCCUCACCAUCGUCAAUUUUGGCAUAUUUUCAUCACCCUAAAAAGAAACCCCAUACCUCUUAGCUUGUCAAUCCUCCUUUCUCCAACCCCAGGCAGCCACUGAUCUUUCUGUCUCAGGUUUACCUACUGUGGACAUUUGAUAUAAAUGACAAUAUGUGGUCUUUUGUGUCUCGUUUCUUUCACCAAGUAUGUUUUCAAGGUUCAUCCAUGCUGUAACAUGUAUCUACUACCAUUUCUUUUUUGACUGAACAGUAUUCCACAGUACAGACAGACCACAUUUUGUUUAUCCACUCAUCUGUUGGUGGACAUUUGGGUUGUUUAUCCUUGUAGCUAUUAUAAAUAAUGCUGCUGUGAACAUUCAUGUGCAGGUUUCUGUGUGGCUGUAGGUGAAAUUGCUGGGUUGUGUGGUAACUCUGUGCAUAACCUUUGCAGGAGCUGCCAGGCUCCUUCCCAGCGUGCAGCCACUUUUGAUACCAGUUUUGCUUAGUUGGUUUUACCUGAAAGUUUGUUUAAAAAUUUUUUUUUAACGUUUAUUAUUGAGAGACAGAGAGACACAGAGCAUGAGCAGGGGUGGGACCGAGAGAUGGAGAGACACAGAAUCUGAAGCAGGCUCCAGGCUCUGAGCUGUCAGCACAGAGCCCGACACGGGGCUCCAACUCACAAACCGCGAGAUCCUGACCUGAGCCGAAGUCGGACGCUUAACCGACUGAGCCACCCAGGCGCCCCUACCUGAAAGUUUGCUUAAAGGCAGAAUGUGUGUCCCUGCCAGGGUAGGAGAAUGGCACAGGGGUGACUCCUGCUGAGCUACAAGUUGGUUCAAAUAACAUUUGUUUUGCUUAUGAAAUGUAACUGAUAUUUAUCAAAGCCUUCCAGAUCAUGGAAUGAAAAGUGCUGACAUAAUCCUGCCAAGUGUCCUUAAGAUACAAGGGACCAUUUUCUUUUGCCUAUCUGACUCUUCGUGGGCCCUUCCCCCGCCCAUCAAAGGGCAGGGAAAGGUAAUUUCAGAAGUGCUUUGCAUAAUAGUUGGUGUUAUAAACCUUCUGCCCUGCGCCCCUGGAAUAUAUCCUUUUGAUGGUUGCUACUGUCAUGUUUUCUCCAAAUAUGGGAAUUAUGGUAAAGAUGUAAGAGUUGGGAACACUACCCAGGCAGAAAAAGGAAUUGAUACACACAAUGAUAUGGAUGCAUCUCAGAAUAAUUCUGGGUAAAAGAAGCACUCUGACCAAAAAAAAAAAAAAAAAAAAAAGAA